rnacentral:rRNA from 1 species
UAUCAAAAACAUGUCCUUUUGUUGUUGAUAUAAGGUCUGGCCUGCCCAAUGAUGUUUUGAAUGGCCGCGGUAUCUUAACCGUGCUAAGGUAGCAUAAUCAUUUGUCUUUUAAUUAAAGGCUGGUAUGAAUGGUUGGACAAAGUAUUAGCUUUCUUUAACUUAUCUAAUUAAUUUAACUUUUAAGUCAAAAGGCUUAAAUUUAUUUAGGGGACGAGAAGACCCUAUAGAUCUUUACAUUUAAAUUACAAGAUUUGGUUUGGAGAAUUUUAUGUCUUGUGUAUUUACCUGUUUGGUUGGGGCGAUUGUGGAAUUUUAAUAACUUCCAUUGUUUAAUUUCAUUAAUUGAUGUGUUUUUGAUCCAUU